rnacentral:rRNA from 1 species
UACGAAGGGGGCUAGCGUUGUUCGGAAUCACUGGGCGUAAAGCGCACGUAGGCGGAUUGUUAAGUCAGGGGUGAAAUCCUGGAGCUCAACUCCAGAACUGCCUUUGAUACUGAGGAUCUUGAGUUCGGGAGAGGUGAGUGGAACUGCGAGUGUAGAGGUGAAAUUCGUAGAUAUUCGCAAGAACACCAGUGGCGAAGGCGGCUCACUGGCCCGAUACUGACGCUGAGGCACGAAAGCGUGGGGAGCGAACAGG